UAUAACAAUCGAAACCGCAGGGUUUUGAUUUGAAAGGCGCUUUCGGGUGUCGCUAAUGGAUGGACCCGCGGUGCACUAGCUUGUUUGUGAGGUAACGGCUCACCAGGGCCACGAUGCAGAGCCAACGUGAGAGGGUGAUCGGCCACAUCGGGACUGACACACGGCCCAUACUCCGACGGGAGGCAGCAGUGGGGAAUCUACGGCAAUGGACGAAAGUCUGACCGAGCAACGCCUCGGGAGUGAAGAACGUUUUCGGAUCGUAAAACUCUAUUGUUAGAGAACAACAAGGAUGAGAGUAACUGUUCAUCCCUUGACGGUUCUAACCAGAAUCCACGGCGACUACCUGCCAGCGCCGCGGUAAUACGUACGUAGCAAGCGUUGUCCGGAUUUAUUGGGCGUAAAGCGAGCGCAUGCCGUUUCUUAAGUCUGAUGUGAAAGCCCCCGGCUCGCCGGGGAGGGUCAUUGGAAACUGGGAGACUUGAGUGCAGAACACGAGAGUGGAAUUCCAUGUGUAGCGAUGAAAUGCGUAGAUUGGGAGGAACACCAGUGGCGAACGCAGCUCUCUAGUCUGUAACUGACGCUCAGGACUCGAAAGCGUGCGGAGCAAACAGGAUUACAUACCCUGGUUGUCCACGUCAUAGACUGAUCAGUGCUAACUGUUGUACGGUUUCCGCCCUUUCAUUGCUGCAGCUCCGCAAUA
rnacentral:rRNA from 1 species